UUGCUUCUCUUGAGAGCGGCGGACGGGUGAGUAAUGCCUAGGAAUCUGCCUGGUAGUGGGGGAUAACGUCCGGAAACGGACGCUAAUACCGCAUACGUCCUACGGGAGAAAGCAGGGGACCUUCGGGCCUUGCGCUAUCAGAUGAGCCUAGGUCGGAUUAGCUAGUUGGUGGGGUAAUGGCUCACCAAGGCGACGAUCCGUAACUGGUCUGAGAGGAUGAUCAGUCACACUGGAACUGAGACACGGUCCAGACUCCUACGGGAGGCAGCAGUGGGGAAUAUUGGACAAUGGGCGAAAGCCUGAUCCAGCCAUGCCGCGUGUGUGAAGAAGGUCUUCGGAUUGUAAAGCACUUUAAGUUGGGAGGAAGGGCAGUAAAUUAAUACUUUGCUGUUUUGACGUUACCGACAGAAUAAGCACCGGCUAACUCUGUGCCAGCAGCCGCGGUAAUACAGAGGGUGCAAGCGUUAAUCGGAAUUACUGGGCGUAAAGCGCGCGUAGGUGGUUCGUUAAGUUGGAUGUGAAAUCCCCGGGCUCAACCUGGGAACUGCAUUCAAAACUGACGAGCUAGAGUAUGGUAGAGGGUGGUGGAAUUUCCUGUGUAGCGGUGAAAUGCGUAGAUAUAGGAAGGAACACCAGUGGCGAAAGCGACCACCUGGACUGAUACUGACACUG
rnacentral:rRNA from 1 species